rnacentral:rRNA from 1 species
GACGAACGCUGGCGGCGUGCCUAAUACAUGCAAGUCGAACGAGAGCGACCGGUGCUUGCACUGGUCAAUCUAGUGGCGAACGGGUGAGUAACACGUGGGUAACCUGCCCAUCAGAGGGGGAUAACAUCCGGAAACGGAUGCUAAAACCGCAUAGGUCUUCGAACCGCAUGGUUUGAAGAGGAAAAGAGGCGCAAGCUUCUGCUGAUGGAUGGACCCGCGGUGCAUUAGCUAGUUGGUGAGGUAACGGCUCACCAAGGCCGUGAUGCAUAGCCGACCUGAGAGGGUGAUCCGCCACAUUGGGACUGAGACACGGCCCAAACUCCUACGGGAGGCAGCAGUAGGGAAUCUUCCGCAAUGGGCGCAAGUCUGACGGAGCAACGCCGCGUGAGUGAAGAAGGUUUUCGGAUCGUAAAACUCUGUUGUUAGGGAAGAACAAGUGCUAGAGUAACUGUUAGCGCCUUGACGGUAUCUAACCAGAAAGCCACGGCUAACUACGUG